UAUGAGACGGAUUAAUCGGCCCACAUUGUACUGAGACGGCACCAGUCUACUGACGCACGCCAGGUAGGAUAUUCGCUCAUGGACGGAAACUCUGAUGUCAGCACGCCAGCUUGAUGCAUGGACGCAGUCCGGUGCGUAUACUCUUUUAUAGUUCAAGCAAAUGUACGUAGCCAUAUGAUAAGGCAUCGUCUCACUCCGUACAGCAGCCGUGGUAUACCGAGGGGUGCAAGGCGUAUCGGAAUCACUGGACGUAAAGGACUGCGUAGGCGGGAUGCCAAGUCUGAUGUGAAGUCCUAUGGCUUAAGCAUAGAACUGCAUGGGAAUCUGGUAACCUAGAGUAUGGGAGGGGGAGAUGGAAUUAGUGGUGUAGGGGUAAAAUCCGUAGAUAUCACUAGGAAUACCGAAAGCGAAGGCGAUCUCAUGGAACACUACUGACGGUAAGGCGUGAAAGCGUGGGGAGCAAACGCGAUUAGAUACCCCGAUAGUGCACGCCCUAAACGAUGUUCAGUAGUCGUCGGAAUGCUAGUCAUUUCGGUGAUGCACUUAACAGAUUAAGUGAUCCGCCUGGGGAGUACAGUCGCAAGAUUAAAACUCAAAGGAAUAGACGGGGAUCCGCACAAGUGGUGGAGCAUGUGGUUUAAUUCGAAGAUACGCGAAGAACCUUACCUAGCCUUGACAUUGAUAGAAUCUGGUAGAGAUACCGGAGUGCCUUUCGAGGAACUUGAAAACAGGUGCUGCACGGCUGUCGUCAGCUCGUGUCGUGAGAUGUUGGGUUAAGUCCCGCAACGAGCGCAACCCUCGUCGUUAGUUGCUAACAGUUCGGCUGAGCACUCUAGCGAGACUGCCUUCGCAAGGAGGAGGAAGGUGAGGACGACGUCAAGUCAUCAUGGCCCUUAUGGCUAGGGCUACACACGUGCUACAAUGGGGCGUACAGAGAGUUGCGAUACCGCGAGGUGGAGCUAAUCUCAUAAAGCGUCUCUCAGUUCGGAUUGAUCUCGCAACUCGAGAUCAUGAAGCUGGAAUCACUAGUAAUCGUAGAUCAGCAAUGCUACGGUGAAUACGUUCCCGGGUCUUGUACUCACCGCCCGUCACACCAUGGGAGUUGAUUUCACCCGAAAUCGGGAAGCGAACCUUCGGGACGCUACCGCUUACGGUGGAAUUAGGGACUGGGGUGAAGUCGUAACAAGGUAAA
rnacentral:rRNA from 1 species